rnacentral:rRNA from 1 species
AGAGUUUGAUCCUGGCUCAGGAUGAACGCUAGCUACAGGCUUAACACAUGCAAGUCGAGGGGCAGCACGGUCUUAGCUUGCUAAGGCCGAUGGCGACCGGCGCACGGGUGAGUAACGCGUAUCCAACCUGCCUUACACUCUUGGACAGCCUUCUGAAAGGGAGAUUAAUACAAGAUGUUAUCAUGAGUAAGCAUUUUCGCAUGAUUAAAGGUUACCGGUGUAAGAUGGGGAUGCGUUCCAUUAGAUAGUAGGCGGGGUAACGGCCGACCUAGUCUUCGAUGGAUAGGGGUUCUGAGAGGAGGUCCCCACAUUGGAACUGAGACACGGUCAACUCCUACGGGAGGCA